rnacentral:rRNA from 1 species
AGUCAACCUAACCUAUGGACGGGAAUAACCUCGGGAAACUGAGAAUAAUGCCCGAUAGAACAUUAUGCCUGGAAUGGUUUAUGUUCCAAAUGAUUUAUCGCCGUAGGAUGGGACUGCGGCCUAUCAGUUUGUUGGUGAGGUAAUGGCCCACCAAGACUAUUACAGGUACGGGCUCUGAGAGGAGUAGCCCGGAGAUGGGUACUGAGACACGGACCCAGGCCCUAUGGGGCGCAGCAGGCGAGAAAACUUUGCAAUGUGCGAAAGCACGACAAGGUUAAUCCGAGUGGUUUCUGCUAAAGAAACCUUUUGUCAGUCCUAGAAACACUGAUGAAUAAGGGGUGGGCAAGUUCUGGUGUCAGCCGCCGCGGUAAAACCAGCACCUCAAGUGGUCAGGAUGAUUAUUGGGCCUAAAGCAUCCGUAGCCGGCUCUGUAAGUUUUCGGUUAAAUCUGUACGCUCAACGUACAGGCUGCCGGGAAUACUGCAGAGCUAGGGAGUGGGAGAGGUAGACGGUACUCGGUAGGAAGGGGUAAAAUCCUUUGAUCUAUUGAUGACCACCUGUGGCGAAGGCGGUCUACCAGAACACGUCCGACGGUGAGGGAUGAAAGCUGGGGGAGCAAACCGGAUUAGAUACCCGGGUAGUCCCAGCUGUAAACCAUGCAAACUCAGUGAUGCAUUGGCUUGUGGCCAAUGCAGUGCU